rnacentral:rRNA from 1 species
UCUCUAGAUGAAGCUUUUGUGGCCAGCAAUGAAAACUGCUUAAAGAUCACAGAUUUGAGAAGGCUUGUUCAUGCUGGAUUGCUAAGGCCUAUGCUCCAGGUGAUAUUUUUAAUUGUUUUUCUUGCAAUCUGAAAACAUUAUCUUCUUAAUCUGUUGUAGUUAACACAAAGGAUUAUUCUGUCUAACAUAUACUUUGCUUGGGAAGUUAAUAAGCCAAGCCUUCAAUUUUGUUUUGGUUUUCAGAGCUUUAGCGUCUGAAUGCAUUCUAGAUCGGGGCCCUUGAUGUGUGUUUUAAUUGUCAGCUUCCUUCUUGGAAGUGCAUGCUCCGUUGAGGCAUGUACCAUUUACAAUGAUAUAAAUUGAAAAGCAAGUUCCAUGUUUGUAUUAAAUGUCAACUUUUCAACAUUUUCAUUUCAUUUUAUCCUUUUUAUGCUCCAUUAUUCCGGUGGAAAUGAAGCACACCCCUCCCUGCAUCAUGUAUCAUGUUUCUCAAGGUUAUCCUGGUCCAAUUUGCUUUGUUUGCACAUACGUACACAACUUCGGUGGCAUGCAAAUGCUUACUUAUUUGACUUCCUUGGUUAGUGUCUGAUUAUUUAUUUGAUAGCACUAUGUUCUAAAAUAAUCAUGUAUAGGCCUCUGUUUCAAAGAGGCAAACAAAUUGUAUUUUAAGUGUUGCUUAUCUCAAGGUGAAUACAAGAAUACAACACUGGAGAGGUGUAUGCACACAAGAGCUUCUUUGUUCUCUUCUAAUUGGCUGCCAUGUGCAGCCUGCAGGUCUAAGCUAAUGAAAGCAUGGACUUCAACAUUUAAGUGAUGAGGCAGCUAAGUGUACAUAAGUCAAAUUCAACACAUUAAGUCUGAGUAGGUAUUUUUGGUAUUUCUUCUUGUAAAGUUGGUGAAUUGCCAUUGCAAGAAGGUAAUUUUUCGCCUUUUCACAUGUUCAAGCAUAUGUGUGUAGAUUAAAAGUUCUGUUGUGCCUUUUGAGAUACAAGGCAUGGUUUAUGUAAAUUUUAGUUUCCUUCAGUGACAUAUUAAUAGAUAUGUAUGGGUUGUCACCCUACUUUUCAAAUCAAUUUGUGUAUUUGAGAUGCCACAUUUUUGAUUAGUAGUUGUUCAGAGAACUAGAUGUUUGCCCUAGAUAAUAUUUGUUAUUGUUUAAUAUUUCUGAAUCUCUGCUGGAAUUCUAACCCUCAAUUAAUAGCAAGGUGUGCCGAUUGAUAAAUAGUGUUGUGUUUGGUCCGUGUCUAGCAGUUGGCAUAUUGACCUAUAUUUUUCCUAUAAUAAUGUCCAUAAUUUGCAUUCAGCUGAUAUUAGAUUUGGCUAAAAGAUAAAGAGACAUAUAUAGGAAUGUUGGUUGCAAACUUACCUCUUUCUAUUGUGUUGUUGGCUUUUAGGAUAGGUUGAGGAGAGUUGCCAAUGCACGAAGGUAAAAUUUCCCAUAUUAGGAGGCAAUCAGUGCAUGACUUAAUUUAAGAAUAUAUAGGUGUUCAUGCUCAUGGUUGUGCUGCCCGUUGGCACUAAAAUGUCUAGAACAUCAUUGACCUACCUAUUUGUGCUGUUUAGUCAUGUAGCAUGUAUGUGAAUUAUUAACGGACUAAUGAAUUUGUUCAUAACAAUUGACGUUUCUACCUGGAACUUCUGAUUUUAGCAAAAUGAUUGCUCUUUACCCAUGAUUAUUACCAUUUGAUCGUAAGAUAGUUCACAUAUUCUAAUAGGUAAUUACAUAAUUUUAGUUCGCCCAUAUACCCUGAUUGUAUAUAUCAGCAAUUACUUUAUUUUUGACUACACAAAUUGAGCUUUAUAUUUCCUUUCCGGUGUGCCAAAACCUCAUGCACUGCACCAUGCUUCAAUUGCCUUGGGUUUUCGUUGCUUCUUUUGUGUGUUUGUCCUCAAAUUUUGGAAGAGGCGGGCUCAAGUGUGAUUGUAGUAACAAAUCAUUGGUGACCGAGCGGAGUUUGAUAGGUUGCAAAUGCAUGUUCUUUUGAAAUUCAUAAAUAAAUUCUGAAUGUUACCAACUGCAAGGCAAUUGAAUACUAAUAAUUGAUGCAGUCUGAUGCAGUCUGCUCGGUGUUCUUUUUUGGUAGGAGAGAAAAAAUUGGUGUCUUUGACACACUUGGGAUUUACGGAUCGGUUAUGCCAUGGUUGGAUGUGAAUGGGACAUUGUACAUCCAAAUUUUGUUUGGUUGAUCAGAAUAUUUGUCCGUUUGGCUGUCUUAAUGCAAUCCCAUUCGCAUAAAUUUGGCAAACAUCAGCAAAGAAUUCAGUGGCAGGGAGUGUUUGCCAUAGUGGAAACGAAGCAAAAAUUGGACGGAGCUCACAAUUUUGCUACUACCUUACUAAUAGCUUUGUCAGGAUUAAUAUUGGUGCCAAGGCCACCAGCUCUGCAAAGAAAGCAAGGCAGUAGCUCUUCCAUGCCCUAGGUUGGGUGGGUACAUACGGGUAUUUUUGUGUGUUCCACUUGCUUCUCAAGCUCGAUGUGCCGCUAGGAGGUUGUGUUGCUGAAGGGAGCUUCUUCACUAUAUCACAUUGCAGCAGUGGUCUAGCCAUCCAGUCUCAAGAUCGUACCUUGGCACACUCUUGGGCAUGCACCUGAUGUAUUUUAUGCAUGUUUGCAAGGCAAGACUUUGACACUUGAAGAAUUACGUCAAGCCAAUGUCAAUACCAAUCCCCUUAUUUACGUCCCUGAACAAAUGGACUCCUAUGCGUUGUAGAUAUCAUCGUUGGCCCAACGGGCGAUGACUCUACUUGAUAUUCAUCGCUGCAUACCUUACUC